rnacentral:misc_RNA from 1 species
GAUGAAGAACGCAGCGAAAUGCGAUACGUAAUGUGAAUUGCAGAAUUCAGUGAAUCAUCGAGUCUUUGAACGCACAUUGCGCCCCCUGGUAUUCCGGGGGGCAUGCCUGUCCGAGCGUCAUUGCUGCCCUCAAGCACGGCUUGUGUGUUGGGCCUCCGUCCUCCUCCCGGGGGACGGGCCCGAAAGGCAGCGGCGGCACCGCGUCCGGUCCUCGAGCGCAUGGGGCUUCGUCACCCGCUCUUGUAGGCCCGGCCGGCGCUUGCCGACACAUCAAUCUUUUUUCCAGGUUGACCUCGGAUCAGGUAGGGAUACCCGCUGAACUUAAGCAUAUCAAUAAGCGGAGGA